AAAGAUUCAGUGUUUUACACAUUAGCUUGUCAAGCUAAAAAUAAAUUUUAAAUUUAAUCUUUU
rnacentral:tRNA from 1 species